rnacentral:rRNA from 1 species
AAUUUUGGACAAUGGGGGAAACCCUGAUCCAGCCAUCCCGCGUGUAUGAUGAAUGCCUUCGGGUUGUAAAGUACUUUUGGCAGAGAAGAAAAGGUAUCUCCUAAUACGAGAUACUGUUGACGGUAUCUGCAGAUUAAGCACCUCCUAACUCCGUGCCAGCAGCCGCGGUAAUACGUAGCGUCCAAGCUUUAAUCGGAAUUACUGUUCGUAAAGCGUGUGUAGGCGGUUCGGAAAGAAAGAUGUGAAAUCCCAGGGCUCAACCUUGGAACUGCAUUUUUAACUGCCGAGCUAGAGUAUGUCAGAGGGGGGUAGAAUUCCACGUGUAGCAGUGAAAUGCGUAGAUAUGUGGAGGAAUACCGAUGGCGAAGGCAGCCCCCUGGGAUAAUACUGACGCUCAGACACGAAAGCGUGGGGAGCAAACAGG